UACGGAGGGGGCUAGCGUUGUUCGGAAUUACUGGGCGUAAAGCGCGCGUAGGCGGCUUUGUAAGUUAGAGGUGAAAGCCCGGAGCUCAACUCCGGAACUGCCUUUAAGACUGCAUCGCUAGAAUCAUGGAGAGGUGAGUGGAAUUCCGAGUGUAGAGGUGAAAUUCGUAGAUAUUCGGAAGGAACACCAGUGGCGAAAGCGGCUUCCUGGUCCAGCACCGACGUUCAGGCACGAAAGCGUGGGGAGCAAACAGG
rnacentral:rRNA from 1 species